CCGGCCCAACCCGGGUGAAACCAGAGCGCCCACCCUGCAACUGACCUCCCGGGGCCCCGCCUCCGACACCGCCCCUUCCCGGGACCGCACCCCUGAACCCCCUCCCUGGGCGGCCGGAGAGUCCCCCCGCUGCACCCCCAAAGCCCAUCUCCUGCACCCCGGUGCACGCGCGCCCGACGGUGACUUUUGGGGGGCUCCCUGUCCCUGGCCCAGCAGACACCUUCUGCAGGAUCCCCCCCACACCCGUCCCGCCAACGUGGCCACUUUGGGAGGGGGCGGGAGGAGGGGUAUAAAGGGCCCAGGCUGCUGACCAAGCCCCGCGACGUGGCUCGCCCACUCUGCCCCUCUGGACUCAGUUUCAGCCUUGCUGCUGCUGUGAGACCACAGAGACGAAGAUGGAGAGAGACUGAAGAAAACACUCCCGAGAAGAGGGGGCGAUGGCUCUGUGUGUCGCCUCUGUCCUGACUGAGGAGCCGUAAUCGCUGCUCUGCCAGGCGUGAUGAGAUGGUGAUAACAGUAUGAAUGGCCUCAGCCGGAGGCCCAGGUGGUGGGUGGGUGGGUGGGCAGGACCCGGUCAAGUCCACAUGUAGGGAGGAAGCUCCACAAGUGAUGAAACCAUGCUUCAGGGGUCUCUCUAUGCCCCCUCCCUCUCAGUUGACCUCUGUCUCUAUCCCAGAGAGGGGGAGGGAUGGCUCAAUCCGUGGGUGGUGCACCCAGUUGAGUGCACACGUCACCAUGUGCAAGGACCAGCGUUCAAACCUCCAUCCUCACCUGCAGGGGAGAAACUUCAUGAGCAGUGAAGCUGGUCUGAAGGUGUCUCUUUCUCCCUCGCUAUCCCUCCCUCCUCUCUCAGUUUCUCUAUCUUCCUCUCCUAUCAAAUAAAACAGGGAAAAGGAGGAAAAAAAUAGCCACCAGGAGCAGUGGAUUUGUAGUACUUGCAUGGAGAGCCCCAGUGAUAAGCCUGGAGGCAAUAAAUUAAGACAAACAAAACAGAAAAUCCAAGGUAUGCCCACCAGCCCGUAUGUUCUACUAGAAGGACUCUCCUACGUGUUCUUAGAAAAGUGUCAUCACUCAGCGCACCUUCCCUUAGUAGUUCAGCCUUGCAUUUGAUUCCAACUGUGGGUUCAGAAGACCCCAGUCUGAAGCUAAGGAGGCCUUUUUCCCUGGUCAUCAAGUUUAAAUGUCUAGAUACAGAGAUUUUUUUGGCCACCCAGAUCCUUUGCACUAACAUGAGUGAAGCACCUUAAGUCAUCUGUUUAUGGGUCUUGAGAGAGAGGCGGGAAAUGCAAAGUUUGAAAGAUGUUUUUGAAUACCCAGAGAAAAUGCAGCUGGCCUGUGGCACAGAGAGAAAGCCUCCACCAAUGGCUUCCUGAGUAUUAUUUUCUGACGUGGAGCCUUGAAUCUCUGUAAGCAAAGAGUGGCUAUCCUAUAAGAAAAGGAAAAAAAAAAAAGAUAUAUGAUCCACCUACUAAUCAAUAUCCUCUUACUCCACUGUCUUGGGGAAUAAAGUUUCAGAUUUAAGUGGCUUUGAGAGCUUAUUUUCAAAAAAGAAUGUUCAUCCCACAGAGGGUGAGAAAUAUAAAUUUUUCUGCCUUAAUGUUUCCCAUCAUUUAUCAGGGAGAUUAGCAACAAGUAACUUUGAAUUAAGUGGAGAACAGCAGGAGGGUGAGCUCCCCCGGGGCCGGCACUUCAGACCCUCCUAACUGUCCCCACCCUUGUGAUCUCCAUGCACAACAUCAGGACCUGUCCUGUCUACACACCAGCGCAGCCCCCCACACAGAAUCUGCAGGGUUCUAGGACAGUCAGCACUCCCCAACCUCACCCACUGUCCUCUCUGGCAACUCUCCUGUUUUUAUUUGAAUUGCAACCUGCCUGGAUCUGGGAAAUUUGAAAUUAAGACAAAAGAUUUUUUUUCAAUUAAAAUUUUCCGUCGUUGUCUCUA